rnacentral:rRNA from 1 species
UGAACUCUGGCGGCGUGCCUAAUACAUGCACGUCGAGCGAACAGACGCGGAGCUUGCUCCUCUGACGUUAGCGGCGGACGGGUGAGUAACACGUGGAUAACCUACCUAUAAGACUGGGAUAACUUCGGGAAACCGGAGCUAAUACCGGAUAAUAUAUUGAACCGCAUGGUUCAAUAGUGAAAGACGGUUUUGCUGUCACUUAUAGAUGGAUCCGCGCCGCAUUAGCUAGUUGGUAAGGUAACGGCUUACCAAGGCAACGAUGCGUAGCCGACCUGAGAGGGUGAUCGGCCACACUGGAACUGAGACACGGUCCAGACUCCUACGGGAGGCAGCAGUAGGGAAUCUUCCGCAAUGGGCGAAAGCCUGACGGAGCAACGCCGCGUGAGUGAUGAAGGUCUUCGGAUCGUAAAACUCUGUUAUUAGGGAAGAACAAAUGUGUAAGUAACUAUGCACGUCUUGACGGUACCUAAUCAGAAAGCCACGGCUAACUACGUG